GCAUUGGUGGUUCAGUGGUAGAAUUUUCGCCUGCCACGCGGGAGGCCCAGGUGCGAUUCUUGGCCAAUGCA
rnacentral:tRNA from 1 species